GCCCUGGUAGUGUAGUUCGGCCUAGCAUGAAGCCCUGUCGAGGCUUCGACCCGGGUUCAAAUGUGGUUGUGGUGUAUUACAAUAAAAAACAAUAAAAAAAAUCACAAUCAAAGAAAAUCCCGGCCAGGGCG
rnacentral:tRNA from 1 species